rnacentral:snRNA from 1 species
GGAUGUGAGGAUGAUCUGGCUGCGACAUCUGUCACCCCACUGAUUGCCAGGGUUGAUUCAGCUGUUCUGGCUGGCUAGGCAGGUGUUCCUUUCCUCCCUCACUGCUCCAAGUGCAUCCCUUUCGAAGCUGUGCACUCCGUCUUACAGGAUGGACGGCUUUCCCCAAAUAGAGACUAGCCAGCUGGUCUGGUAGAGGAAAUAGGAGUAGCUGUGCUCCCCUGCUAGGACCUCCAAACAAACUCUAAAAUGUUCUAGGCUCAUCUUAUAGCUCCCCUGCCCCAACCCUCCAGUCAGUCACAUCACCAGAGUCCUGAU